UACGUAGGGGGCAAGCGUUGUCCGGAAUCAUUGGGCGUAAAGAGCGCGUAGGCGGUCUGUUCCGUCCGCUGUGAAAACUCGGGGCUUAACCCCGAGCCUGCAGUGGAUACGGGCAGACUAGAGGUAGGUAGGGGAGAAUGGAAUUCCCGGUGUAGCGGUGAAAUGCGCAGAUAUCGGGAGGAACACCGGUGGCGAAGGCGGUUCUCUGGGCCUUACCUGACGCUGAGGAGCGAAAGCGUGGGGAGCGAACAGG
rnacentral:rRNA from 1 species